CCAUCUCUAAACUCCCAUUCCCCCUCCGUGUUGUUACCAAACACGUUGUAACCGAAAGAAGAGAUUGUUCCGAAACUACCACAAGACAGGGCAGCACCACAAAUCAGGUACAGGUGCGUGUCUCUUUUAUCAUCUCCCCGAAUAAAGAUAAACGAAAAUCCCUAUUCUUAAGUACAAAUUUUACAAAAAAAAAAAAAAAAAAAAAAC
rnacentral:lncRNA from 1 species